GGAGAGGUGGCUGAGUGGUCGAAAGCACCGGUUUCGAAAACCGGCAUACCGCAAGGUAUCGUGGGUUCGAAUCCCACCCUCUCCG
rnacentral:tRNA from 2 species